rnacentral:lncRNA from 1 species
CCUUACUGCUCACACCACCAUGUGCCAGGCAGCACACGUACUUUAACUCAGUCACUACAGACUGCAAAGUAGGCGUGUUGGUCACUGCUGUGACCAAGUGUCACAUUCUUUUUUUUUUUUAAUUACAAGUCUUAUGUUUAUUUUUAACAUUUGAGACACAGGUUAUCUUUACAAUUAUAUUUUUGUGUACCUAUUUGCUUAAAAUCAGUGAAUUUUUAGGCCACAUUUUGGUAACAUUUGGCCUUUGUGAGUAGUUCACAUGGUGAAGGCAAGGUCUGCUGCACGCAGUCUGAAGUCAGAGGGAUCACGUCUGAAGAUAGGCUCAGGAAUUCUGGUCCAGUGGGUGCAGGUGUUUCCCUCUCUGGCAGCCGGGCUGAUUGAUACCUGGCUGCCAGGCCACCAUUCACAGGUGCCAAGAAGACAGGGCACAGACCUCCUAAAACGAGGCCACACGUCCACCCCUCGUGGCGGUAAAGGUUUCCCAGUUCAGGCCACCUGCGCUCAGGUAAACUUACAGACCUGGAAGAAGCAUCGUGUCAGAAAGGGGAGGCUGGGCUGGGGCUCGGUGGGAGGCGUCCUAGCCUGGGUGAGGCGCUGGGUUCCAUUCUCAGCACCACAUAAAGUAAAGGUGCAACACCAGGGAGCACUGCCCUUGGCGAGCCAGCGGCUGACUGGGCCUGUUGGGUGCAGACGGGCCAUAGGACGUCCGUCAGGCCGCAGAGCAGCACUGGGUCCUGGUGUGCCUCUGUGGUCAGCUGGAGCCUUCCUGCUUCUGGGAGGUGCCCAGUUUUCUGGCUGUGAUAUCAGAGGUUGGGUUCCCCUCGAUCAUGGUUCCCCGUGGUUCAUGGUUUUCCAUCCUGACCCCGUUGCUCUCCUCCCAGCAGCCUGGGCCUCUCUGGCCUCCCUCUGACACGGCCUUGAGCGGCAGCCUGCAUGCUGCUCGUCCCUGGGCAGCGUCUUCCCAAUCACCACAUUGUUAAACUCGGGCACUAGACCUCUGAGCCACAUCCCAGCCCUGUUUUACAUUUUGUUUAGAGACAGGGUCUCACUGAGCUGCUCAGAGCCUCGCAGAGGCUGAGGCUGGCUUUGAACUCGCGAUCCUCCUGCCUCAGCCUCCCACACUGCUGGGAUUACAGGUGGGUGCGCCACGCCCGGCCCCAAUCACCACGUUCUUAGAACAUGAGAGUGUCCAGUUCUGGAGGCCUGGGUCCUGAGGCUCCUCAUCUUGGGCUCUCUAGGCUCUGAGGACGCUGGCCCAGGCUGUCCCCAGCUUGGUGUUUGCUGUCCUCUUGGGCCUUCCUCGAUUUAUUUGUAGCAGCAUUGUCCAGGUCUCUGCCCCAAACUCCCUUCUCACAAGUACCCUGACCAUGAGUCCAUCCGUCACCUCACCAGAGACCCUGCCUCCAGAGAAGGGCACCUCAGGCCCAGGGCUGAGGCCUCCAACGCAGGAAUUUUGUGAGGACGUGGUUCAGCGCCCUCAGCAGGAGAGCCAUCCUGUCCUCAGGAAGGAGACCGGGCAGGGCUGGGUUCUCAGCAGGGCUGCGGCUCGUCCCGCCCCACUUGGUGCCCUGUGCUCACGUCACUCCAGGUCCGGGUGGAGGAGGGCUGCCCUUCAGCACCCACCCCUGCCCUUGGGUUGGGUCAUGUCCUAAUUUGAGUCUGAGGAGUCCCGUGAGCCCCUUGGUUCAGGCCCAGCAUGGAGAGGGGUCAGCUGCAGCUGGACCUCUGCAGCAGUCUGCUUACCCUUUCCCGCAGGAAGCCACGCGGGCCGGCCCUCGGCCCCUCUGCCCUCAGCUGGCCUGGGGUGCCACGGGGCCUCGUUCCUGGCUCUGGAAGGAGAGGGAGGGGGCAGUGGCGGGAAGGCUAUGUGGAGGUGUCUGGAGGUCACAGCCCGCUGUUUCGAUGCUCUUUCAGGCUCUCAUUGCCCAGAGUCCUGCCUUCCUGGAUUUGGCCAAAGCCAAAAAGCAGAAGGACUGAAAACUUUCUCAUUAAGCAUCUUACGGUGCUUCUGAUGGGGCCUGAAACAGGAAGUUGCACGGUCUGCUGCCGGAAGUCCACGACCUGCUUAGCGGCGGGGAAGUAGGUGUUCCCAACCUGCGGGCUCCGAGCAGGGGCCAGCACGGGGGAUGCAGGACAGGGACCCCUGUGGUUGGGGGGCAUGACUGAACCGACCUGGGCUGACAGCGGCUUGGGGAAAGCCGUGUUGCUCUGCACUAAUUAGUUAGGGCCCUACGUUAAUGUGUUAGGGCCACCAUGACAAAGCGCCCCACACUGGGGACCACAGACAUGGUCUCAGUCCUUGGGGCUGGGAGUCUGAGAUCAAGGUGCCACAGGGCUGCCCUCUCCAUGGUUUUGUAGACGAUGUCUUCUCCUGUGUCCUCACGGUCAUCCUUGGCAAGCGUCUGUGCCCUGACCUUAUGAGGGCAUGGGUCGGAUCAGGGUCACCGCAGUGACCUCAGGUUACCUCUGUCCCCCUGAAAGCCCCCUCUCCCCGUGCACUCACGUGCUGAGGUCCUGGGGUCAGGCACGCACAGCAUGAAGUUGACCGUCUGGCCGUUCCCGUUGCUCAGCAGGCCCACAGUCUUCACAGGGCAGCUGCAGGACCCCUCGACACCCAGCGGUGCCACCCCACUGAUGGGAACCUCCUGGCUGGUCCUCAGGAAGAAGUAAAUGGACCAGGGGCCGCCCGAGUCCCAGGCCCUAGCUCUGUGCCCCGCCGUGGGAGCAGGGAUGCACCUCAGUUCCAUCCAUGAGCACUCACAGGGCUCAGGGACCAGGCAGCUGGGAGACCAUGGAUGUCAGCCAGGGGUCAGUGUCUCCGAGCAGGAGCUGUCCCUGCAGGGUCCCCCUGACGCCCCAGACCUUCCUGCUUCUCGGCUCUCUGAGCUUCCAUGGGGAUUCCUCUCUGAGCCUAGCUCCCCAGCAGGGUGACCAGCCAGGCCAGCUGUCCUGGACUGUUACUUAGGCCAGUCGGGCUGGGCAGCUUGCAGAAGGGUGUGCAGAGGGGCAGUGGAAAGGUCAGGCCCUCUGGGUUCUGGCUGAUCCUGCAGGAGACCUGGGGUGAGUGGACAGGGCAGGCAGGGCUUCCGUGGCCUCCUGUCCAUGGUCCUGAGCACAAGUCCCAGGAGCCCUCCUCUGUCUGGGGGCAGAGAGGGCCUGGCUCCACAGUGCCCACCAAGGGACAGGCCAGGUGUGGGCCAGAAGGAGCCUGGGCUCCGGGGAGAACGUCACCCCUCCCAGUACCCUCCAAAGUCAGGAAGCAGAUGGUGUGGCUUUGCCAGGACACUGUACUGCCACGUGGAGGACAGAGCCGAGAGGCCCACAGGCUCCCAUGAGCCUCCCACACAUGUCGCAGCCCCUGACCCCUGACCCCUCACCUGACCCAGCAGUUCCUAUGGAAGGGACCAGCACAGGGCAGGUGCCACCUGCCCACAAGAGCAGGUGACGGGGUGCUGCCACAGUCGUCGCACUCUGGGGAGGAAAUGGUCUCUUCAGGGGAUUUCCAGCCCAGGCACCGGUUUUAUUGUGGGCGCAGUGAUUGAAAGAGCUGUACUUUAUCAGACGUGUCACCAGAGAUGGGGACAGAGACACAGAUGGAGAGAGAGAGAGAGAGAAAAGGAGAGAGACAGACCACAGUAGUGUAGGUCCCCAGCAGGGCUGUGCCCAGGGCUGCAGCCAGGAAGGUCUGUCCAGGUUCAAGGGAAGGUGAAGGGUGGCCUCAUUGGCCUUCUGCCUCCCAACAGCCUGCCCGGGGCCCAGCCCUGGCUCGCUGGAGCAGACCAGGACUUGCUUCCCCAGCACACGAGGGCAGGAGCCCAGGGGCCCUCAUGCGUCACACCCCGGGCACACACUGUGUCUCCAGGAUGGACCAGCUUCCUCUCUGCCCCUUGCCAAAGUCAGCACAGACCUAAGCAAAGAUCAGAGGGGGCAGGGCUGCAGCUCAGCUUGGGGCACCUGCCUAGCGUGGGCCAGCUUCCCGCGUUCCAUCCCAGCCCUGCAGAACCAGACGUCAAAGCCCAGGAUGGGCGUGGCCUCAGAUUCUCUGCUGACCCCGUCCUGCCUUCCGGGGCCAGAGGUGGGCACUGCCUGGACUUCAGUGCCCUCUCUGUGGAGGACUUUGCCUGACACCCCUCUUCUAAGUGAGGCUGCCCAACCCCCUCUGUGGGCCCCUGGGGAACAGGUUGGGAGGGGCCUCAGGGUGAGGUCGGGGUGCUGUGGGCAGUGGAGGUGCUGAAGACCACCGGAAAGGCCUCAGUUUCUCCCAGGCGGUUCUCCCAGCCUGCGGGGAAGGCAGGGAAGGAGUGCUCUGUGCCUAGUAUCAUGUCAUCAUUGAGGAGAAACUCGCAGAAGCAGAGUGUGGCCACGUCCCGUCAGCCCAGGGGCUGCAGUCUGCACCUGCCUGUUGGGGGGAGUGGACAGCUUGCCUACUGGUAAUAAUUCUGCUGUGUGGAUCAUUAUCGUUAUUGUAUGUGAUAUAUAUUAUUGUUAUUAUAACCUCUAGCCUGGGAGGUUCUGUUUGGAUCGAUGUUGUUCUUGGUGAGAGCAAGGUCGGAAGAACAGGGAGUCUUCUCAGCAGCGGGGUCCUGCCGCAGGACACUGCUGAAGCUCCUGCCACUGGCCGCUAUGAGCUGUCAUUCUGUGGUCAUUGCCACCAGGAGCAAGGCUGCAGCACUGUGAGGCCACUCUGCCCUGCCCUCCCUGGGGGCCUGCAGAGGAAGUGUCCUCCACGUGUCCCCGGGUCUAUGAGCUGAGGGGUGUCCUUGCACCACCGACCCCUCUCCCAAGCUGCUAUGGCCAGCUGCUGCAGGUCUUCUGGACACUUGGGCUUGGGAGGAGAAAGGAGCUUACGUCCUCUUCCCCUGGGGCCCAGGGGAGGAGAGCCAACAUGGUGCUGGGGCAGGCAGCUGCUCCCAGGUAGAGACCCCCUUUCUUCAGUGCCAGUCGGCAGUGUGGUGUCAGGCCAGCAGGAGCACAGUAGGCAGCAGGCCCCAGGUCAGCUGGGCUGGACCAGGGCAGGGUCCUCCACAGGGUGGGUGUGCCCCUGGGUUUGGGCUCUGUGUCAGUAAUUGGGCACAGGCAGGUGGCCCACUCCCAGGACCUGUACUCAUGGCCACCUGUCUGCUGUCAGCCCCUCAGGCUUCAAAGAACUGCAAGGUUCCCUCAGGUUCCCUCAGAGCUUCGGGACACCCUGGGCUCUGCUCUGGGAGCCUGGGCCGCCCCACCCCAGCUCCCCGGGGGCUCCCUGAAGGCCCCGACCACCUCCGUUCCAGAUGCCUCCUGCUGUACUGCGCCUGCCCUUCCUCCUGGCCUCUGGCUCUCCCAGGGUCCACUGUUGCUGCAGGGCCAGUCCACAUGUAAGCUGGACCCCACACUGACCAGAGGACGCUGGACAGAGGCUGCACACCCACAGUCGGGCUCCUCUGAGCCUCUUCUCCGCUGGGCCUUGCCCUUGGGCUUCUGCCUGUGCCCUUCCUUGGAGGUCCAUCCAGAGAGCCAGCCCCCGACAGGGCCCCCUCUGGAGCUAGUCACCCCUCCAGCAGGCGCCCCGCGGUCCCCCUCUGAUUGUCGGUGCCCCCUCCCCUGUUCUCCUGGCAGGUGGACAGCCAUGCCAGCUGUCCCUGCUGACCACACUCGCCAGGCUGCCCCACGGUGGCUGCAGAUACCAGCUCUCUGCGUCACGGGGUCCCCCGAGUCUGAAGGAACAGAAAGGUCCAACAGAUGGCAUAGGACACGUGCCUGGGGUGGACGAGGCAGCCACCCCUGGAAGCUGGGUCACUGGCCCCGAGCCUCCCAGGCCACAGCCCAGCCCCUCUCGCUGAACACGUCCUGGGAACGUGCGUGCGGGAGGCAGGGGUGAUGAGCGGAGGACUGGCUGUCAGGGGGACCAAGCUGGCCAGAAGCGGUCCUUCCAGGUGGCCCGGGACAGAAGCAGCCGAAGCCAGUUCCCGGCCCACCCACCCCACACGGCUUCCUGUGAGGGCACACUGCCCGGGGGGUGCGGGCCAGAGAGGCUCUGGCGUCGCACAGAGAAACCCACUCCGCUGCCUGGAGCUGGGGCUCAGGAUGGUGGGAGUCCGUCCCAACGUUUUGUGGUGAAGGAAGAUUUUAGGUCAAUACUAAAGCUCUGUGGUCACAGACGGCUCAGGAUGUGGAUUCCUCAGCGUCUCGGUCCACAGUGACAACACCACGGUGCUGCGCCUCCGUCACCACCCUUCCAGAGCUUUCUCACCUUUCCAGAUUGGAGCCCUUUCCCCGUGGACGCUGCCUCCCUCUCUCCCAGCCCUGGCCCCUUCCUAGGCCCUGGGCUCGGCAGGUGGAAGCAGGCUGUUGGUGGGAGAGUCAGCCCCUGCUCGGUUUCUGGACCCCUCAGGAGGCGGGAAUGGGCCUUCUCUGGCCUGGCCUGGUGUGGGGACCUCUGUCCCUCCUCCAGUGCAGUGACCCUGCAGACACAGCGGCCCUGUAAGCAGGCCACAGGGCUCUUGGCCAGGCACAGUGCUGAGUCUGCCGGGAGGGACGUGUCCUCCUGCUCCGGCCCAGGUGUGUUCAGGCCAGUGGAGAAGGUGCUGGGGUGGGACCAUCCUAAUGCCUCCGCCACACUCCCAGGCGCCCUCCUCCCGCCCUCCCCGUUCCCAGUGACAGGUGUGGGCUGCUUCCAGACAGAGAUUUCUCCUGGUCUCCCUGCCCACCCUUUACCAGAGGCCUUGGGAUUGUGGCCUUAUAGCCCCCUCUUUGGCCCCCACUGCCUGUCCGCGUGGCCUCCCCUGCCUCGGCCUCGCCCCUGAUCUGUGGUCACAGGCUCAGCCCUGUGUCCACUCAGACCCUAGGGAGCUCCCGGUGGGGGCGGGGAGCAGCCCUGCUGGGCAGGACCCAGGGAGUCGGAGCCGUGCUGGAGUGCACAGAGGUCCUCUGCCAGGCGCCGUCCGCUCCAGCCUAGGCCAGGCACGCAGCCCCUCCCUCAGGGCCCCACGUGUCCCCUCUCUGCCUGUGCGCUGGCUCAGCCUGGUCUCCUUGCCCCUCCAGACUUUCCCCCAGUCCGCUCCCAGCCCCAGGCUCUGUCCCUUCCUGCCCGGGCUGCUGGCUCCUGACCCCCAGGAGCACCAUGUGGCUCCUAGAGUCCAGCCAGAGUCCCUGCCUUCUGCCACCACUCCAACGUCCUGCGCCAUGCUCACCCUAGGGGCCAGCUGUUGGGCACACCCACUAUGACUUUGCCCUCCACUGCCCCUCCCCAUCUGUCCUCCAGGCCACGGGCCAUGCUCAUGACCCCUGCCUCCGGUGGCAUGAGAAGCGGGGACCCUGUGCCUGAGGACUGCAGUGGAGAGGAGGGAAGGGGCAGUGCUGCCGGGUCCUGCUGUCCCUGGGGAGAGCCCCGUGUGCAGCUGGGGUCUGCAGGUCCCCCAGGGUGUUUUCUGGGCAGGGGCCAGCCCCCAGCCUGGGGCUGGAGAGCCAUGCAGCCCAAGACCCUGGACUGGCCUGGCCACAGCCUGAGUCUCACUGCAGGACUUUCCUGGACAGACUCCCUGCCACUGAGAGGGCCCCGGGAAACCCCGUGUGUGUGUGAAAGUGGAGCUGCCCGUCCGCAGAGGCAUGGGACAGCGCCCUGUGGAAGAGCCUCUGGGGUCAAAGGGCCCCUUUACAGCUGGGAGGGCGGCUGCACCCCAGGGGCCUCUCCCACCUCCAGCCCCACCUUGACUCCCACCUCUCUGACCGCAGCCCUCCACCAGGUCUGAGCAGCUCUGCCCAGGACCUUCGCACAGCUGGGCUUCUGCCGGGAAAGGUGUGUCCUCCCCGAGAGACGCUCCAGGUGGCUCCCAGCUCUGGGUCCCUCCUCCAGUGUCACCUGCUUGGUUGCUGCCCACCCUGCCUCUGCUGUCUUCCACAUCAUGCCUCCGUCUCUGCCUCGUCUGUGUCCCCCAGAGACGUGGCCUGGUGGACUCCCACUGCCCGGGGCCCAGGGAGACCUCAGCCUGUCAACUAGAAGCCGAGGGAGCCACCGCCUCCCUGGAGUCGGGAGCAGAGGAAGGGCCACGGGGUGUGGGGGUGGGCCCCGUGACGUGCUCAGCUCCUCCCUGGGGACUGCCCCAUUCUGGGGUCCUGGGGCUCCUGGCCCGGAGUCGGGGUGCGCUCCUGCUCUGGAGCUUUGGCCUCCCGGGCAGCUGUUCCUGGCCUGGCUUUCUGCUGUGGGCCCUGGUGGGUGGGAGGGCGUCCUGCUCAGGUGUUGGCAGACACCCCCCAGAGCGGGCAUAAAGGCUCUGACGUGGCCGGGAAGAGUGUCCGCGCCGCUCGUUGUGGGUGGGUGGUGCCGGCCUGUGGGCAAGACCCGUCUCCACUUCACCCCUCCAGGUCCAGCAGUUCAGCCGAACCUCCCGCUCCCUGAGGUGUCACAGCUCUGUGGCUUGGACCACAGCCAGGAGACACACCAAGGACAUGUGACAGGCACCGUGUGGCCCUGAGACUCAGGGAAAGAAAUCCCCUUUCCUGCUGCAAGCGUUGGGAAGGAACGGGGACUCUGUGGGGACUUUCCUGGGAAGCAGUGGGACUUACCCGACUUUUGGUUUCUCCAGGUUGGAGCUGCUGCCUGCCAGGGCGAGGCCGGGCUGGGAGGAAGUGAGCUCUUCUCCCAGAACCUUCCGCUGGCCCAGCCCAGGGGACACACCUCGGUGCCGGGUGGUGGGGAUCCGCCUCGCGCUCCCUGAGCUCAGCCCCC